rnacentral:rRNA from 1 species
UACGUAGGGUGCGAGCGUUAAUCGGAAUUACUGGGCGUAAAGCGUGCGCAGGCGGUUGUGCAAGACCGAUGUGAAAUCCCCGGGCUUAACCUGGGAAUGGCAUUGGUGACUGUACGGCUAGAGUGUGUCAGAGGGGGGUAGGAAUUCCACGUGUAGCAGUGAAAUGCGUAGAGAUGUGGAGGAAUACCGAUGGCGAAGGCAACCCCCUGGGGAUAACACUGACGCUCAUGCACGAAAGCGUGGGGAGCAAACAGG